rnacentral:misc_RNA from 1 species
AAGUCGUAACAAGGUUUCCGUAGGUGAACCUGCGGAAGGAUCAUUACUGGGUUUUUGGGCUCUGCCCGCCACCCGCCCUCUGUUAUCUGUGACUUGUUUCGGCCCCCUCAAAAGGGCCGGCAGCAACUCUGAUGCAUCUUGAAGUCUGAUACACUGUCAAUAAAAAAAACUUUCAACAACGGAUCUCUUGGUUCUG